UGCCUGCCCAGUGAUAUUUUCAACGGCCGCGGGAUCCUACACCGUGCAAAGGUAGCAUAAUCACUUGUCAUCUAAAUAAUGACUAGUAUGAAUGGCCCUAUGAGGACUUCCCUGUCUCUUGUAAUCAAUCAAUGAAACUGAUCUUCCAGUCCAAAAGCUGGAAUAUCCCCACAAGACGAAAAGACCCUGUGGAACUUCCAAGUGCUAAUCAACAAUAUGACACAACACUUUUAGUUGGGGCAACUUUGGAACAAAACAAAACUUCCAAUUAUAAACACCCUAUUAACCAAAAAUUAGGUCCACACACCAACUUUUUGACCCACUAUCGACCCAGUACCACUGAUAAAAGAAACAAGCUACCCCAGGGAUAACAGCGCCAUCCCCUCUUAGAGUCCAAAUCGACGAGCGGGGCUUACGACCUCGAUGUUGGAUCAGGGCCCCCAAACAGUGCAGCAGCUGUUAAAGGUUUGUUUGUUCAACAAUUAAUGCCCUACGUGAUCU
rnacentral:rRNA from 1 species